rnacentral:lncRNA from 1 species
GCUGACGUUGGUCUCGUAGGGAUGCCAAACGCUGGGAAAAGCACUCUCCUCGGCGCGCUCUCCCGCGCUAAGCCACGUGUAGGCCACUACGCGUUCACAACGCUACGUCCCAACCUAGGCAACGUCAGCUACGAUGACUUCUCAAUGACGGUAGCCGACAUCCCAGGGCUUAUCAAAGGAGCUCAUCAGAACCGAGGGCUAGGCCACAACUUUCUCCGCCAUAUAGAAAGGACCAAAGUGUUGGCUUAUGUCGUGGACUUGGCGUCGGGGCUAGAUGGGAACAGAGGAGUGGCGCCGUGGCAGCAGCUUAGAGAUUUGGUGGUGGAGCUCGAGUUUCAUGAGGAAGGGCUGUCUGAUAGGUCGUCUUUGAUCGUGGCGAACAAGAUAGAUGAGGAAGGGGCGGAGGAGAGGUUGGUGGAGCUUGAGAGGAGAGUGAAAGGUGUGAGGAUUUUUGCGGUUUGUGCUGUUCUUGAAGAAGGUGUGGCUGAGCUGAAAGAUGGUUUGAAAAUGCUUGUAAACGGUGGUGGUGAGGGAUCAGAGAGAUUGAAAUUGGAGAAUAUAUGUGUUGACUAGUUUAGUUUUUUGUAUCUCUUUGAGUUAUUUCAGUAGAUAGACCAACUGAAAAUUUCGUGUUACAGUGGCUAUACUGAUGUGUUGUGUGAUGAAACAUUUUCACGGUUUCUAUUGUGAUAUUUUUAAAUUCUUGAUCGUUUUAUGUUAUAGUGGCUUAGGUUACUAAUUCAAGAACGUAGUCGUUGCAUUAGGUUGUUUCUUACUUGUAACAUAAGUUUCUCGGAGGCACAAGAUAUCAUUAGGGGUUUAGUACUACGUGGAAGAAAGGUAUACACAUGAUUUUAGAAUGCACACAUGCAGUUUGGGACUUCAGCGGUUUACAGCCUCAUGUUGUAAGUUUAUUAUGCAUCUCUUUCUUUUUCAUGUUAUUCUAGUAAAAUAUCUCAUGUCUUAACUGAUUAUAUAAAUGCAUUUUGUAGAAAGGUGGGAAGGCUGGGCAUGGAACUUCUAAGAACAGGAUUGGAAACAGAGGAGAAGACAAGGUCCUGCAAGUCCCCAUUGGGACAGUGAUUCAUCUUCAAGAAGGUGAGAUUCCAUCUCAGGUUCAAGCUGGCUCUCCCACAAGUCUGGAUCCAUGGGACCUUCCUGGAACACUAGUUGAUGAUCCUGCAUCAGAGGAGACCUCAGACGUUAAUCAAGAUUCUUCUGUUCAAGUUGAAGCUGAGGAAGAAAGUGUAGUAGACACACCAAUGGAAGAUGAUCUCGAAGACAUUGAUCAAGUAAAGUAUAACGUUGCGGAGCUAACAGAACAAGGCCAGAGAAUACUCAUCGCACGUGGCGGCGAAGGCGGUUUAGGCAGCGUUUGCGCUACACGUUACUUAAGAGGCACCAAGUUCGCUAAAACAGCUCCUUUGAGGACAAUGGAGGACGACGAUGAUGAAGAUGAUGAUAAUGGCCAACGCUCGAGUAUUAAGUGUGGUUCUCUUGGUACAGAAGCUGUCCUGAUACUAGAACUGAAGAGCAUCGCUGACGUUGGUCUCGUAGGGAUGCCAAACGCUGGGAAAAGCACUCUCCUCGGCGCGCUCUCCCGCGCUAAGCCACGUGUAGGCCACUACGCGUUCACAACGCUACGUCCCAACCUAGGCAACGUCAGCUACGAUGACUUCUCAAUGACGGUAGCCGACAUCCCAGGGCUUAUCAAAGGAGCUCAUCAGAACCGAGGGCUAGGCCACAACUUUCUCCGCCAUAUAGAAAGGACCAA